rnacentral:rRNA from 1 species
UACAGAGGUCUCAAGCGUUGUUCGGAUUCAUUGGGCGUAAAGGGUGCGUAGGCGGCGCGGUAAGUCGGGAGUGAAAUUUCUGGGCUCAACUCAGAGACUGCUUCCGAAACUGCUGUGCUUGAGUGUGGGGAGAGGCGCGUGGAAUUGCAGGUGUAGCGGUGAAAUGCGUAGAUAUCUGCAGGAACACCCGUGGCGAAAAGCGGCGCGCUGGACCAACUACUGACGCUGAGGAACGAAAGCUAGGGGAGCAAACAGG